UACAGAGGGUGCAAGCGUUGUUCGGAAUUAUUGGGCGUAAAGGGCGCGUAGGCGGUGCGGUAAGUCUGCAGUGAAAUCUCUGGGCUCAACUCAGAGUCUGCUGUAGAAACUGCCGUGCUUGAGUGUGGGAGAGGUGAGUGGAAUUCCCGGUGUAGUGGUGAAAUGCGUAGAUAUCGGGAGGAACACCAGUGGCGAAGGCGACUUCCUGGCCUGUUCUUGACGCUGAGGCGCGAAAGCUAGGGUAGCAAACGGG
rnacentral:rRNA from 1 species